rnacentral:misc_RNA from 1 species
GGAAGUAAAAGUCAUAACAAGGUCUCCGUAGGUGAACCUGCGGAGGGAUCAUUACAGAGUUCAUGCCCUACCGGGUAGAUCUCCCACCCUAUGUUAUUAUUACUUUGUUGCUUUGGCGGGCCGUUAGGCUCCGGCCCGACUACCGGCCCCGGCUGGUAAGCGCCCGCCAGAGGACCCAAAACCCUGAAUAUUAGUGUCGUCUGAGUACUAUAUAAUAGUUAAAACUCUCAACAACGGAUCUCUUGGUUCUG